rnacentral:rRNA from 1 species
GUGUAUGAUGAAGGCCUUCGGGUUGUAAAGUACUUUUGGCAGAGAAGAAAAGGUAUCCCCUAAUACGGGAUACUGCUGACGGUAUCUGCAGAAUAAGCACCGGCUAACUACGUGCCAGCAGCCGCGGUAAUACGUAGGGUGCAAGCGUUAAUCGGAAUUACUGGGCGUAAAGCGUGUGUAGGCGGUUCGGAAAGAAAGAUGUGAAAUCCCAGGGCUCAACCUUGGAACUGCAUUUUUAACUGCCGAGCUAGAGUAUGUCAGAGGGGGGUAGAAUUCCACGUGUAGCAGUGAAAUGCGUAGAUAUGUGGAGGAAUACCGAUGGCGAAGGCAGCCCCCUGGGAUAAUACUGACGCUCAGACACGAGAGCGUGGGGAGCAAACAGGAUUAGAUACCCUGGUAGUCCACGCCCUAAACGAUGUCAACUAGCUGUUGGGGCCGUUAGGCCUUAGUAGCGCAGCUAACGCGUGAAGUUGACCGCCUGGGGAGUACGGUCGCAAGAUUAAAACUCAAAGGAAUUGACGGGGACCCGCACAAGCGGUGGAUGAUGUGGAUUAAUUCGAUGCAACGCGAAAAACCUUACCUACCCUUGACAUGUCUGGAAAGCCGAAGAGAUUUGGCCGUGCUCGCAAGAGAACCGGAACACAGGUGCUGCAUGGCUGUCGUCAGCUCGUGUCGUGAGAUGUUGGGUUAAGUCCCGCAACGAGCGCAACCCUUGUCAUUAGUUGCUACGCAAGAGCACUCUAAUGAGACUGCCGGUGACAAACCGGAGGAAGGUGGGGAUGACGUCAAGUCCUCAUGGCCCUUAUGGGUAGGGCUUCACACGUCAUACAAUGGUCGGGACAGAGGGUCGCCAACCCGCGAGGGGGAGCCAAUCUCAGAAACCCGAUCGUAGUCCGGAUCGCAGUCUGCAACUCGACUGCGUGAAGUCGGAAUCGCUAGUAAUCGCGGAUCAGAAUGUCGCGGUGAAUACGUUCCCGGGUCUUGUACACACCGCCCGUCACACCAUGGGAGUGGGUUUCACCAGAAGUAGGUAGCCUAACCGUAAGGAGGGCGCU